CGAGGAUGUCACUGUUAUCCCUAAGCUAUGUGUCCCUUUGAAGAACAUGGACGCUCUUUUGAGUGGCACUUCCACGCUUCACAGAAGACCUCUUCGCUAAACUUUACAAGGGAAAAAUACGUCUCUUUGUUAGCCUGCACAUCAAAACAAAGCUCGAGAGAGUGCUACCAGAAAUUAAGAAUGCCGAUGGCUGUACAGAAGGUAAACUUAAUGCAGCAUGAGAACAGACUCUGUUUCUAGCCAUCAAAAAGACCAAGAGCUUGGCAGAUUAAUUAAGCUACCAAAGAAACGUCCCCGCUGGUGGAUAUGGCAGCAUAUGGGGAAGAAGUGUGUAUUCCAGAUGGUGAUGGGGAAGAAAGAGU